AAUAAGAGUUCAUAACCAAAAUUGGUUUUUGUGGAAUUGCAUAAUCUGGUGUAUUUAGUAUUCUUUUCCAUUGCCAACAUUAAUGUUGAAGCAGUUUAAGAAACCAAAAGGCAAAGAAAAAUCUAUGGAGUAUUAGGUGAAGCAUAUCAAGUUUUAAAUGAUCCAUUACAUCUUCUCAAAAAAAAAAAAAAAA